UUGCGCUUCAGUUGCAUUUUUUCUAGUGAAUUACACAAAUCAACAGUUAUAUUUGAUUUCAGUUUCAGGAAGAUGUCUCCAUCCAUUAAAUUUAUGUUUCUAAUUAUGGCGAUGUGUGUACUCAGCGAUGCGUCAAUAUUGAAAACAGCAUCCAAUCAGGGCGACUGUUUAUGUGAAAACUGCAUCUGCAAAAGCCGAUUCAGUUGCAGAGAAGACCAAAUGCAAAAUUUGUAUUGUCCAGGAUCGUUAAUUUACGUGUGCUGCAAGGUCUCGGACGACUCUAAUGACAUCACGCCUUAAAAACCGACGCCAAUGUGGGAGAAUAGUUCAAGUGAAAUAAAGUUUGUUGUAAGCACUCA